UGGGGAAUAUUGCACAAUGGAGGGAACUCUGAUGCAGCGACGCCGCGUGAGUGAUGAAGGAAUUCGUUUCGUAAAACUCUGUUCUAUGGGAAGAAAAGGACUGUACCAUAGGAGAAAGCUCCGGCUAAAUACGUGCCAGAAGCCGCGGUAAUACGUAUGGAGCGAGCGUUGUCCGGAAUUAUUGGGCGUAAAGGGUGCGCAGGCGGCUUUACAAGUUGGAUGUGAAAUAUUGUGGCUCAACCACAAACGUGCAUCCAAAACUGCAAAGCUUGAGUUAAGGAGAGGUAAGUGGAAUUCCUGGUGUAGCGGUGGAAUGCGUAGAUAUCAGGAGGAAUACCGGUGGCGAAGGCGACUUACUGGACUUAAACUGACGCUCAGGCACGAAAGCGUGGGGAGCAAACAGG
rnacentral:rRNA from 1 species